GCGAAAGCGUGGGGGGCAAAACACGGUUAGAUAACCCCGGUAGUCCCGCCGUAAAAGAUGAGAGCUAAGUGUUAGAGGGUUUUCUGCCCCUUAGUGUGCAGCUAACGCACUAAGCACUCCCCCCGGGGAGUACGGCCGCAAGGCUGAAACUCAAAGGAAUUGACGGGGGCCCGCACAAGCGGUGGAGCAUGUGGUUUAAUUUGAAGCAACGCGAAGAACCUUACCAGGUCUUGACAUAUUCUGACAACCCUAGAGAUAGGGCGUUCCCCUUCGGGGGACAGAGUGACAGGUGGUGCAUGGUUGUCGUCAGCUCGUGUCGUGAGAUGUUGGGUUAAGUCCCGCAACGAGCGCAACCCUUGAUCUUAGUUGCCAGCAUUCAGUUGGGCACUCUAAGGUGACUGCCGGUGACAAACCGGAGGAAGGUGGGGAUGACGUCAAAUCAUCAUGCCCCUUAUGACCUGGGCUACACACGUGCUACAAUGGAUGGUACAAAGGGCUGCAAACCUGCGAAGGUAAGCGAAUCCCAUAAAGCCAUUCUCAGUUCGGAUUGUAGGCUGCAACUCGCCUACAUGAAGCCGGAAUCGCUAGUAAUCGCGGAUCAGCAUGCCGCGGUGAAUACGUUCCCGGGCCUUGUACACACCGCCCGUCACACCACGAGAGUUUUAACACCUGAAGUCGGUGAGGUAACCGUUAUGGAGCCAGCCGCCAUCACGAAC
rnacentral:rRNA from 2 species